UCAGCUCCAAAACUCUAAGGCUGCUGCCUCUGAGGAAGACACCAAACUAUGCAUUCAGCGGCUCCAGCACCAGGUUCGGACCCUACAGUGCCAGCUCAGGGACCAGGGUUGGGCACUGAGGGAGUUGCAGAUGGCUCGGGAUGAGGCAGUGGACCUCCAGGAUAAGCUCAAAAGCAAGCUUGAGGAGCUUCGGGAGCAGCAGCAUGAAGUACGCCUGGCUUCAAGCCCUCUGAAGGCCAAGAUGGCUUCCCUGGUCCACAAGUGCCAGGAGAGGAAUCGCCUGAUUGAACACCUACUACAGGAGCUGCCAAGGCACGAGCCCAGGAACCGCCUGCUCUCUGAGCUGGCGCAGAGCAUGUUUGAGGAUAUAGCCCUGGCUGAGUAUAGUGCCACCUUCCUGACCCCAGGAGCACCUGAGACGUUCUGCCACCUGGACGUGAGCUCCAAGGAGACCUCAGCCGGAGGAGCUCAGGAGUAUCUGUUUAAUUCGGAAACAGACAGUGUCCUCCAAAGCCUGUGGGGUGCGGAGUCCUGGUCCCAUCCAGGGGUUGAGUGGGCACUGCAGACUGCUCCACCAGGUUCCCCAAAGGUAAGCACAUGCUUUCACCUCU
ensembl:lincRNA